CGUUCCCACUUCCGUUCCCACUUCCGUUCCCAUUCCCCGUUCCCAUUCCCCGUUCCCAUUCCCCGUUCCCAUUCCCCGUUCCCAUUCCCCGUUCCCAUUCCCCGUUCCCGUUCCCAUUCCCCGUUCCCAUUCCCCGUUCCCAUUCCCAUUCCCGGUUCCCAUUCCCCGAUUCCCCGUUCCUUGUUUUAAAGAUAGCCAAUCAAA